AUUGAACGCUGGCGGCAGGCCUAACACAUGCAAGUCGAGCGGAUGAAGGGAGCUUGCUCCUGGAUUCAGCGGCGGGCGGGUGAGUAAUGCCUAGGAAUCUGCCUGGUAGUGGGGGAUAACGUCCGGAAACGGGCGCUAAUACCGCAUACGUCCUGAGGGAGAAAGUGGGGGAUCUUCGGACCUAACGCAUUCAGAUGAGCCUAGGUCGGAUUAGCUAGUUGGUGGGGUAAAGGCCUACCAAGGCGACGAUCCGUAACUGGUCUGAGAGGAUGAUCAGUCACACUGGAACUGAGACACGGUCCAGACUCCUACGGGAGGCAGCAGUGGGGAAUAUUGGACAAUGGGCGAAAGCCUGAUCCAGCCAUGCCGCGUGUGUGAAGAAGGUCUUCGGAUUGUAAAGCACUUUAAGUUGGGAGGAAGGGCAGUAAGUUAAUACCUUGCUGUUUUGACGUUACCAACAGAAUAAGCACCGGCUAACUUCGUG
rnacentral:rRNA from 1 species